UUCAGUUACCUGAGAUAAUGUGGUCCAAAAAUAGGACUGAAUAUAUAUUGGAAAACCACCACACCAAACAGGACGAUAGAGCAAAAAAAACCUACAAAAAAAAAUCCAGGGAACUAAACCACAACCUCUGCAACAAUCGAGAGCAAAAAAGGUCGGACUUGGUCAAUGACAGAAAACUUUUUUCAUGUUUCUUUCCACUUCCAACUUAGGAUCAAUCAAGAAAGCCAAAUGUGCUGCUCACACUAACGUGGUAGCUAGCUUAUCUUCAGCUUCCCCAUACCAAAAACCUCCAGCUAAAGCAUAACUGAAUCCUUCCUUCUUUAUUAACUAAUAAAGUUUUCCCAUUCUCUUGACUGCGUUUAAGUCUCUGCCAAAGACAAGUGAUGGUGGCUGCCUCCCUUGCUACAGAAAGCUCUGAAUAAGUAGCCUUGAUUUAUUCCCAUUUGCAUGGUCUUCAUUUAUUUCCAACAAUCCGAGCUCAUAUACACAUGCCAACAAACACACACAAAAAUAAAUAACUGCAAAAUACGUUUCAUAGUAAAAUACAUAUCCCCAUAAAUGUAUUAUAAGUAAUGCCUUCUGAAAUUUUCUAUUCCAUUACAUAAAAAGUAAAUGUUGGCCCCAAACCAAAAUUAUUUAAUGGCCCAUUAACCAGUACGACUUUUAUAUUGAAAAAUAGGUGUACACAUAUUUUCUAAAGCUUAUUUGACCCCGCGGCCAUCUGUUCACUGAGUAUCUCUUAAGACUUGUUUCCUUAGGACACGCUUGGGGAAGGUUAACUACAUUUUGAAUAGAGAUUACUGGAAGAAUAGAGAUGUGAUUAACAAACAAUCAGAAUAAACACUUGGUUUUUAAUGAAAGGUAUUUAGUUCAAUUUAAAUUAUAUUGAUUAAGAAAUUACAAUUCAGAGAAACAGAAAAAAAUACUAAAAUUGAGAAAGAAAAGAGUUUUAUAAAAUUCUAGUCCUUUCUGAAGCUUAUUUAAAGGUCAUUUAGUUUAACUUUCCUCUCAAUCAACAAUUUUGUUUUCCUGUUCUAGUAUCUAUUAUUAAAAUGGGACUGCUGUUUUAGGCAAAGUAAAUAUAAACAAAGAAUAAACUCCUGUCUAUUAGAAAGUGAAGGGAAAGUGUAAGGGCAAGCACAAAACGAAAAGAGGCUUAAUUUUUUAGGGUUAGGGUUAGUGUUAG
rnacentral:lncRNA from 10 species